rnacentral:lncRNA from 1 species
AGGGAUUAAAAAAUUAAUUUGUCAUAAACUACGGCUGGAACAAUGUCCAGGUUUGAUAAUGCAUUGCCUUAAUGGCAUAAAGUCCGAUAUAAUCUCCGCCAGAUUGCUUUCUGUGAAAAUGUUUGUAAAUAUUGAGUGUGUGUUCAUGCACACAUUACACUUUAUAGAGUGUAGAUUGUGUCUUCCACACUUUUAUAUCUUGCUUUGUACUUAUUGAAACUAUGCAAUAAAAAUUGAUACACUGGAAAAAAGAAAGGGAAUAUGUACAGUGUGCACACGCAUUGGUCUGUAAUAUUUUCUUCAAAUGAAGGCUUUUAUUCUUCUACUUACACUCGUGGGUUGUAAAUAGUGUAAUCUGCUCAAGAAGUGUGUGUAUAAUCUCC